AACCUCACCACAAUGUAAGCUAUCUUUUAAGGUGUCACAACUUAAUUAAUCAUGUUCUGUUGUAGAUGUUAUUCCAAAGUGACUUUAACCAUAUUUUUCAAUAAUAAGCAUACUUGAUAUACUCCACACCAUUAGGUUACAUGUGUUGAGGUGUUUAAAAUACUUGGAAGUCCUGAAACUUUAUGCUGAAAAUUAAAUGGAUUCUGAUUUACAUAUUUUGGAAUUUGCUAUGAUAUGGCAAGUCAUAUGCAAACGCACCAACUGUCCAUCCAAUUAAAUAUUUUUAUGAUUUCUGUAUGGUUUCUCACCGUUUGUAGUUUUUUUAACGAUGAUUGGCAGGGAAAGAUGGGUAAUGGAUGGCAGGGGAGGCAUGAAGAUGCAUACCUCGGUGGGCAUGGGAUGCAGCACCACGGUGAGCACGGGAUGCAGCACCACGGUGAGCACGGGAUGAAGCACCACGGUGAGCACGGGAUGCAGCACCACGGUGAGCACGGGAUGAAGCACCACGGUGCGCACGGAAUGAAGCACCAGGACAGGCUUAUGGCUCCGCAGGUGUUACCACAUCAUGUCUACAUGAACCCAAACAGCGGAGGCGGCCACCACAAGGCCGGGUGGGGGAAUAAGGGACUCUAACUGCAACCAACUACUCUACCGGUUCAAAUAAAAAGUAAUGAUUAUGUAUAAUACCAGUUAACGAAACUAUAAUUAAGAUGUGUGUGUGAGGAACAUGUUUCAGCA
rnacentral:lncRNA from 1 species